rnacentral:lncRNA from 1 species
UCCUCUCUGUCUCUAGGUAUAAAGUCUAUAGACUCUAGUUGGUCCUGUUAGGACCCAGUACUCGCGGAUAUAAAGUCUAUAGAGUCUAGUUGGUUCUGUUAGGACCAGUCCUCUGCGGGUAUAAAGUCUAUAGACUUAGUUGGUUCUGUUAGGACCUGGUCCUCUUUGUCUGAGUAUAAAGUAUUAGACUCUAGUUGGCUCUGUUAGGACCGGUCCCUCUGGGUAUAAUAUAUAUAGACUCUAUUGUUCUGUUAGGACGUCCUCUCUGUCUCUGGGCAUAACGCUAUAGACUCUAGUUGGUUAUGUUAGGCCCUGGUCCUCUCUGUCUCUUGGUAUAAAGUAUAUGACUCUAGUUGGUGCUGUUAGGACUGGUCCUCUCUGUCUCUGGGUAUAAACACUAUGACUCUAGUUGGUUCUGUUAGGCCCUGGCCUCUCUGGGUAUAAAGUCUAUAGACUCAGUUGGUUCUUUAUGGACCUGGUCCUCUCUGAGUAUAAAGUCUAUAGACUCUAAGUUGGUUAGUUAGGACCUGGUCCUCUCUAGGUAUAAGUCUAUAGACUCAGUUGGUCCUGUUAGGACCCAGUACUCUCUGAGUAUAAAGUCUAUAGACUCUAGUUGGUUCUGUUAGGACCUGGUCCUCUCUGGGUAUGAAGUCUAUAGACUCUAGUUGGUUCUUUUAGGACCUGGUCCUCUCUGAGUAUAAAGUCUAUAGACUCUAAGUUGGUUAUGUUAGGACGGCCCUCUAGUAUAAAGUCUAUAGACUCUAGUUGGUCCUGUUAGGACCCAGUACUCUCUGAGUAAAAGUCUAUAGACUCUAGUUGGUUCUGUUAGGACCUGGUCCUCUCUGGGUAUGAAUCUAUAGACUCUAGUUGGUUCUGUUAGGACCUGGUCCUCUCGUCUCUGGGUAUAAAGUCUAUAGACUCUAGUUGGUUCUCGUUAGGCCCAGUCCCUCUGUCUCUGAGUAUAAAGUCUAUAGACUCUAGUUGGUUUCGUUAGGACCUGGUCCUCUCUGUCUCUGGGUAUAAAGUCUAUAGACUCGAUUGGUCUGUUAGGACCCAGUCCCUCUCUGUCCUGGGUAUAAAGUCUAAGACUCUAGUUGGGUUCUGUUAGGACCUGGUCCCUUUCUCUGGGUAUAAGUCUAUAGACUCUAGUUGGUUCUGUUAGGACCGGGUCCUCUCUGUCUCUGGGUAUAAAGUCUAUAACCUCGUUGGUUCUGUUAGGACCCUC